rnacentral:lncRNA from 1 species
CAGAACCUGAGGGGUUAAAUACUGCUUUGCACAAGGCUGCAUCUCGUGUCUUGGUCUGUGCUGCAGCUGCUGUUCCAGUCCUCCACUUCCUUUGAGUGGAGGCUUUCGCUUGGAGCUGUAGGAGGAGGCUCCUCUGCCUCCCACAGUUCAGUACCAGAGUGGAAGGUUACGUGCUGCCAUUACUUACUUGCUGUGGUGUUUCUUUCAUUUGCCUCCACCUUUCACUGUCUCAGCCUGGAUGUAGCCCAGAUUUGUGAAAUGCACAGCAGUAGAAUUUGAGUUUUCAAGUGAAAUAACUCUUCCUUGUCUGAACCGUCCUUCAAAAUGCGGGAUUAGAAGUUUCCUACCACAUCAUCUUUAGGACUCCCAGAAAAUUCUUCUGCAGCUUGUGGCUGCCCGGAAAAGGAUGUUGUAGUAGUCUGGCAAAAUGAACUCAAGAUGCACAAGAAGAACAUACUAGAGACUGAUCUGCAAGGUUCACAGGAAUCUUUAGGAAGAUCUGUUCAGAGAAGUGCACAGAAAUCUGUUAUUCAGCUGAAUUUGCAGAGUCGGCUGGCAGCCUUAUGAGGAAAACUUUUCUGGAAUUUCAUCUUGCAUCUAGUUCUGACAAGAGGAGAUUGGAAUUCGAAAGAAACAAAAGAGUGAUCCUCACAGAUUCAAUCAUUUCUGGUCGACGUCUUCACUAAAAAUAUUAUGAGGCGUCUAGAUUGCUGCAGAGAGCAAAGAGCUACUCACAUUACAGUAUCUCCUGAGGAAGGGAUGGAAGAUCUGAGCCCACGGGCUGAGUCCCGGGACUCAUCCAGCAGAGAGGUGGGCUGUCCCCCCUUCCAACUGUCACCUGUCCUCAGCUCUAGCCAAAACAGAAUGCCUAAGGAAGUUCACUGAUAAGAUGCAAACCAGAAUCUGCCUGUUGGUUAUCUUUCCAGACAUGUUUCAGAGCUAAUAAGGGAGACUGACGAGUACCAUGACUUCAAACAGAAGCAUUUUGACCGAACAAGGAAGGAAACAAAACAUUUGAGCUCUCUGUGUAAAGGCAGCUACUUUCUCUGUGCCUUUUUCUUUCCUCUGUUUAAUUCCCGGUACCCUAGAGAUACAGUUUCCUCCCUUAGCAGGGACUGUGACCUUAAAAAUAGCCAGUUCCAAAAUAAACACAGCCAAAAAAGAAAAAAAAAAACCCGACACUUCAAUUGUUUCACAUAUAUGGUAAGUAAUCAAAACUGCAUCCUUGCUAAAGCUGAAAUUCAUAAACUUUUGAAGCUUUUGUUUCUCUGAGACUUUUGUUUCUCUGAGAAAUCCAUUAAAACCUUGGGUGCCCUUUGCCAAUGGUUUGUCUCUGUCCUUACCACUGUGGCAGAGUUUCCAGAGGACACGGUUUGUCAUUGGCUCAGUGGAGGGUGCGCUCACAUCACACAGGAAAGGGGUGAUCCCAAGGCCUCCUCACGGACACCUCUAUAUGGGUUUGUCUCCUGCUGGAAGGCAUCACUGCUGC